ensembl:misc_RNA
UGCUUUACAUAGGUGGUAGACGCGGCUGGAGGCCAAGGUCAAGUUGAAAGUUGCUGUCUAGCCAUCCAG